rnacentral:rRNA from 1 species
UACGAAGGGGGCUAGCGUUGCUCGGAAUUACUGGGCGUAAAGGGCGCGUAGGCGGAUAUUUAAGUCGGGGGUGAAAGCCCAGGGCUCAACCCUGGAAUAGCCUUCGAUACUGGGUAUCUUGAGUUCGGGAGAGGUGAGUGGAGCUCCGAGUGUAGAGGUGAAAUUCGUAGAUAUUCGGAAGAACACCAGUGGCGAAGGCGACUCACUGGCCCGAUACUGACGCUGAGGCGCGAAAGCGUGGGGAGCAAACAGG